UACCGGCACCCCGAGUGGUCGGGGCGAUUAUUGGGCCUAAAGCAUCCGUAGCCGGCCUUACAAGUCCUCCGUUAAAUCCAGCUGCUUAACAGAUGGGCUGCGGAGGAUACUAUAAGACUAGGAGGCAGGAGAGGCAAGCGGUACUCAGUGGGUAGGGGUAAAAUCCGUUGAUCCAUUGAAGACCACCAGUGGCGAAGGCGGCUUGCCAGAAUGCGCUCGACGGUGAGGGAUGAAAGCUGGGGGAGCAAACCGG
rnacentral:rRNA from 1 species